rnacentral:antisense_RNA from 1 species
GCCUUGGCGAAAGAGAUUUCCAGGAGACUCAGCAUGGAUGUCAAAUCUUCCUAUUGGAGGAGAAGCUCCUGACUCCCUUCUAGUCAUGGCAGAGCAUGGAAUUCAGAACAAUUCUACUGGUGAGGACAAGGCCUCUAUUGUAGUCAGAGCCCUCUCAAAGGACAAAGGCAGAUGUGGCUGCCUUGGGUCAGCUGCGCACAGUGCACUCCCGGCCUGCCGGCUGGAGGCGCGGCUCCCAUCCACCUGGACCGCGACUGCUAGGGACUGUCAAAGCGGCAACAUGCCAUCGCCUUCUCCAGCCCUUCUCCAGCAGCACAACCAGUCCUCCCAGCUGGUCCUCUGGGGACCAGCCGUCAUGGCGACGUGGUGGCAAUGUCCCCAGGCAGCCGACCAUCCUGGGCUUCUCUUUGGGCAGGCCUGGGCCAGGACCUUAGGGGAUCUCUGUGUCCAUGGUGUAAAUCUGAAUGAGAUCA